rnacentral:rRNA from 1 species
CCUACGGGAGGCAGCAGUAAGGAAUAUUGGUCAAUGGACGCAAGUCUGAACCAGCCAUGCCGCGUGCAGGAUGAAGGCCCUCUGGGUUGUAAACUGCUUUUAUAGGGGACGAAAAAGGGACUUUCUAGUUCAACUGACGGUACCCUAGGAAUAAGCACCGGCUAACUCCGUGCCAGCAGCCGCGGUAAUACGGAGGGUGCAAGCGUUAUCCGGAUUUACUGGGUUUAAAGGGUGCGUAGGUGGGUCGGUAAGUCAGCGGUGAAAUCUUCGAGCUUAACUCGGAAACUGCCAUUGAUACUAUCGAUCUUGAAUCAUCUGGAGGUAAGCGGAAUAUGUCAUGUAGCGGUGAAAUGCUUAGAUAUGACAUAGAACACCAAUUGCGAAGGCAGCUUACUACGGAUGUAUUGACACUGAGGCACGAAAGCGUGGGGAUCAAACAGGAUUAGAUACCCUGGUAGUCCACGCCCUAAACGAUGGAUACUCGACAUACGUGAUAUACUAUGUGUGUCUGAGCGAAAGCAUUAAGUAUCCCACCUGGGAAGUACGAUCGCAAGAUUGAAACUUAAAGGAAUUGACGGNGNGAGAGAGCGAGACGACGACGAGGGAGGAGG